rnacentral:rRNA from 1 species
AUUGAACGCUGGCGGCAGGCUUAACACAUGCAAGUCGAGCGGAGAUGAGGUGCUUGCACCUUAUCUUAGCGGCGGACGGGUGAGUAAUGCUUAGGAAUCUGCCUAUUAGUGGGGGACAACAUUCCGAAAGGAAUGCUAAUACCGCAUACGCCCUACGGGGGAAAGCAGGGGAUCUUCGGACCUUGCGCUAAUAGAUGAGCCUAAGUCGGAUUAGCUAGUUGGUGGGGUAAAGGCCUACCAAGGCGACGAUCUGUAGCGGGUCUGAGAGGAUGAUCCGCCACACUGGGACUGGGACACGGCCCAGACUCCUACGGGAGGCAGCAGGGGGGAAUAUUGGACAAUGGGCGGAAGCCUGAUCCAGCCAUGCCGCGUGUGUGAAGAAGGCCUUUUGGUUGUAAAGCACUUUAAGCGAGGAGGAGGCUACCUGGAUUAAUACUCUAGGAUAGUGGAUGUUACUCGCAGAAUAAGCACCGGCUAACUCUGUGCCAGCCGCCGCAGUAAGAC